AUCUUGGUUUACUGAAACAGCCGAGAGCUGCAGUUGGCUGACCUGAGGGCAGGGAAUGGGACCAAGAUGUGCAGAGGUGGCCCAGAGGAAGGGAGGAUGGAGAAAAAGGGCUCCUGGCCUGCAAGUCCUAUUUGGAGGAUGGAACAGGGGCCAUACCUGUCAGGAUCUCCGAGAAUUGGACUUAGAACUCAUCUAGCCCAACUGUUUAAAGUUUUUUGUUAUUUUAGUUUUAAAAUCUACUUUGCUGAAGUACAAUUUACAUGUGAAAGAAGCAUUGAUUUUAAGUAUUCAGGUCUGGGAGUGUCCACAAAUGGAUCCAUCCAUGUGACUAUUCUCACAAUCAGAAUAUAGAACACUUCCAUGGUCCCCAAAUUCCAUUGUGCCCCUUUUACAGUGAGACCCCAUAUUAGUCAGGAUUCUCCAGGGAAACAGAACCAAUAGGAUACAUACAGAUAGACAUAAAAGGAAAUUCAUCAUAGGAACUGACUCAUGCAGUUACGGAGGCAAUAACUCUCAUAACCUUCCAUCUGUAAACUGGAGACCUAGGACAGCCAGUGGUGUAAUUUAACCCAAGUCCAAGGGCUUGAGAACAUGGGGAGCUGAUGGUAUAAAUCCAUCCGAUUCUGGAUGUCCAAGAGCCAGGAGCGCCAAAGGAGGAGGGCAGGAGAAGAAGGAUAUCCCAGCUCAGAGACCCCAAAAUAGGUACUGCUUCCCACUCCAUAUCACAGAUGAAGAAACCAAGGCUCAGAGCAUUGAAGUCAUUUGAAUCUGGUGACAGCCAGGACUCACAGCCACCUGGUACACGCAGAUAAGGACACAGAGGCUCGGAGAAGAAAAGCAAGCCACUGAAGGUUGCCCAGUGAGGAAACAGGUUCCGUCAUUGCCCAGGCACAUGACUAAGAAGUAGAGAAGGUCAAAUCCCAGCCUGGAUCUAGCUGACCCUAAAGUCCACGGUUUCACCCAAUACUCUGUGAUGAUGGAAGUGAAGCUCAGAAUGAAUGAAGAACCAAAUGAAGACCAGACAGCCAGAGUCAACCAGCCUGGACACUGCCUUGCAUGAUGUGCGUUGUGGCAUAGGGGAAAGAGCUUAAUGUUGAAGUCAAAUCUGGGUUCCAAUCCAUCUCUUAAACUUAGCAGCUGGAUGAGCUUGGGAAAGGUGGGUAAACUUACUGACCCUUGGUUUCCCAUUCGUAAAAAAUGAUAAUAUGAGUCUGAUAAUAUGGAGACCAAACACAGCAAACCACUUGAGGUGUGUUAAGGCAGUAGCCUGCACACAGUGGACACUCAAUAAUUCUUUAUUCAAGAGAGGGUGGCCCAGGAGAAAGAGCAUGGGGCUUGGGGUUAGACAGCUCUGGUUUCAAAUGCUCGUUUUUCCAGUGAUAAGCUGUGUAACCUUGGGCAGAUGACAUCUUCUCUGAGCUUCAGUUUUCUCAUCAAUAAAAGAAGGAUGACAGCAA